rnacentral:rRNA from 1 species
GACGAACGCUGGCGGCGUGCCUAAUACAUGCAAGUCGAGCGAAGCGGCGGAUGGGGGAGUAACGCGUGGGUAACCUGCCCUUCAGACUAGGAUACCAUUUGUAAACAGCUGAUAAUAACGGAUACUAAAGGAUGGACAUGGGAAGCAUGAGCUGUGUGGUAAGGUAACGGCUUACCAAGGCGAUGAUGCAUAGCGGAGUGUGAAAGCCGGUCAGCCACAUUGGGACUGAGACACGGCCCAAACUCCUACGUGAGGCAGCAGUAGGGAAUCUUACACAAGUGACGAAAGUCUGACGGAGCAACGCCGCGUGAGUGAAGAAGGUUUUCGGAUUGUAAAGCUCUGUUGUUGGUGAAGCGGUAAUAAACCAGAAAGUAACGGCUAACUCCGUGCCAGCAGCCGCGGUAAUAC